GAUGAGGGGAAUGCUGUCUGGUUCGAGACCAUUCUUUUGAAGCCGAAAACACCAUGGAAUGAUUUCGGACCAGGCUUCAUUCCCCCCAAC
rfam:Lupinus angustifolius cultivar Tanjil chromosome LG18, whole genome shotgun sequence.